AUGGCGCGCAGAUCGACAACGAGCGAAGCGCCGGGCGACGGAGGCUGCGGCCUCACGAACGGCGCGCAGCUCGCCGACGAGCGCCGCGCCGGGCGACGGAGGGUGCGGCCUCAGGAACGGCGCGCAGCUUGCUUACGAGCGCCGCGCGGGGCGAGGGACGUCGUGGCCGCAGGGUUGGUGCGCAGUUCGCUCACGAGCGCCGCGUUAGGACGAGCACGGAGCAAACCCUCCUGCUCUGACAAGCAAGCAGAUCAACAUCGCGGUGUUCGCCGGCCAUGGAGGAGCUACUUCUUUGCCUGUGGGGAAAGUGAGUGGAUAAGAGAGGAGACGAAACGAGCGGCUGGUCUUUUCCUGCGUUUAAUUAAGAGACACGGUCAUUAA
rnacentral:rRNA from 1 species